ACAAUUAUUAUUGAGCUCUUCCCCUCCCCCUUUACCGGGGGGGGGCGGUAGGUUCUCUAACACUUGUGUGCACUGUUUAUUGUCUCUUGGCGUUUGAGGGUUUCAUUACCCCCGAGCGUCAACUUUUUUAAACUUGAUUUUUAUUUAUAACUAUAAGCCUUUAAUUUUAAAUUUUAUAAUUUGAAAA
rnacentral:misc_RNA from 1 species